UCAAUGUCCAAUAAGGAGUACCCGCGACGAAUUCCCAAUUUUCCCUGUAAAUCCUCAUUUGGAGUAGUAGACAGACAGUGCGGACAAAAUUUCAGAGACAAAUCACAGAUUUGACCACUGAGGAAGACGCGUUGAAGCGUCGAAAGCUUUGGCAAAGAAUUUUGUGUUUUCCUGUCCUGAAAGGAUUGCACCCCCUGACGCAUCCGGAGGGAGUUCAUCUCCUUGACCUUCGUAUAUGAAUUGCCGUCAGUAAU